rnacentral:rRNA from 1 species
GAUGAACGCUGGCGGCGUGCCUAAUACAUGCAAGUCGAGCUAACAGACGAGGAGCUUGCUCCUCUGACGUUAGCGGCGGACGGGUGGGUAACACGUGGAUAACCUACCUAUAAGACUGGGAUAACUUCGGGAAACCGGAGCUAAUACCGGAUAAUAUAUUGAACCGCAUGGUUCAAUAGUGAAAGACGGUUUUGCUGUCACUUAUAGAUGGAUCCGCGCCGCAUUAGCUAGUUGGUAAGGUAACGGCUUACCAAGGCGACGAUGCGUAGCCGACCUGAGAGGGUGAUCGGCCACACUGGAACUGAGACACGGUCCAGACUCCUACGGGAGGCAGCAGUAGGGAAUCUUCCGCAAUGGGCGAAAGCCUGACGGAGCAACGCCGCGUGAGUGAUGAAGGUCUUCGGAUCGUAAAACUCUGUUAUUAGGGAAGAACAAAUGUGUAAGUAACUAUGCACGUCUUGACGGUACCUAAUCAGAAAGCCACGGCUAACUACGUG